CUAUGAAGCAAAGUAUGAGGGCAUCAAGAUGCUUUUCCAAUGCCAUUCAGCAGCCACUGCUAAACAAACAGAUGACGUAUGUGUUGCUUAAUAUCGCUGUCCAGGAGCUAUUCCCAGAGCUUAGUAAGAAUCAGAAGGCAGGUCUCUCUGUCUCCACUAGGAGGAUGUAAAACAUUAUCAGAGUCUCAACAUCAACAUUUUAAAGCAUUUUAUUGCACUACUAAAAUACAAUUAUUUAUUGACGUGUAUGCCAUGAUUAUUUCAUUGAAUCAUUGGAUCCCUGCCUUAUUUUUCCACUUUUGUUUAAAUUGUAACAGCAUUACAACAUCAGGAGUUUGGAUUAAGAAAUCAACUUCAUUCAACCCACAUAAUGUCAUUAUCAAUAUGAGAAAAUCCAUCAGACCAUUUUAAACUAUUUUUACGUUCUAGAUUGUCCCCCCUAAGACAUUAAAAAAGACACAAAAUACAGAAACAAGUAAAAAACAUUCAAAAAUAUAACAGACAUUUCAUAGUGUCAUACAGUUAAGAAUAACUGUGUGCAGAAUAAAAAGGCUUUUUUGUAAAUGUUCCGGCUUUGCUGUCAGUAAAUAAAAAUGUAAUAUAUCCAGCUCUUUUGUCCCUAGUCAUAUGUUUUAGAAUGAAUAAAAUUGUUUUAAAAGCAUGUGAUCUACUCUGGUUUAAAGGUGCUCUAAGUGAUCCUGGGUGGAGUAACUUCCUGUUGAUGUUCGAAGUGUUGUCAAACAAAACAGA